rnacentral:tRNA from 1 species
AGAGCGUUAGAAUAAAGAUAGUUCAGGUAGUUGUCAGUUACAGAGUCCUGGUUUUGGGGCGUUCUU